rnacentral:rRNA from 1 species
AACGAACGUUGGCGGCGUGGAUUAGGCAUGCAAGUCGAACGAAUCCCAAUUCUGUAGCAAUACAGAGUUGGGGGAAGUGGCGAAAGGGGCAGUAAUACAUGGGUAACCUACCCCGGGGACGGGGAUAGCCAUUCUAACGAGUGGGUAAUACCUGGCGAUUUGGUUGAGGGGCAUCUCUUGACCAGGAAAUGAAUUUCGCCUCGGGAGGGGCUCAUGCGAUAUUAGCUAGUUGGUAGGUAACGGCCUACCAAGGCAAAGAUGUCUAGCGGGUGUGAGAGCACGACCCGCGCCACUGGCACUGAGACACUGGCCAGACACCUACGGGUGGCUGCAGUCAGGAUCUUCGGCAAUGGGCGCAAGCCUGACCCGAGCGACGCCGCGUGGAUGAUGAAGGCCUGGUU